UACGUAGGGUGCGAGCGUUGUCCGGAAUUAUUGGGCAUAAAGAGCUCGUAGGCGGUGUGUCGCGUCGGCCGUGAAAACCUGGGGCUCAACUCUGGGCGUGCGGUCGAUACGGGCAUCACUUGAGUUCGGCAGGGGAGACUGGAAUUCCUGGUGUAGCGGUGAAAUGCGCAGAUAUCAGGAGGAACACCGGUGGCGAAGGCGGGUCUCUGGGCCGAUAUUGACGCUGAGGAGCGAAAGCGUGGGGAGCGAACAGG
rnacentral:rRNA from 1 species